GACGAACGCUGGCGGCGUGCUUAACACAUGCAAGUCGAACGGAAAGGCCCUGCUCUUGUGGGGUGCUCGAGUGGCGAACGGGUGAGUAACACGUGAGUAACCUGCCCUUGACUUUGGGAUAACUUCAGGAAACUGGGGCUAAUACCGCAUAGGAGCUCCUGCUGCAUGGUGGGGGUUGGAAAGUUUCGGCGGUUGGGGAUUGACUAGCGGCUUAUCAGCUUGUUUGUGGGGUAGGGGCUUACCAAGGCUUUGACGGGUAGCCGGCCUGAGAGGGUGACCGGCGACCUUGGGACUGAGAUAGGGCGCAGACUCCUACGGGACGCAGCGGUGGGGAAUCUUACGCAGUAGGCGGAAGCCUGAUGCAGCAACGCCGCGUGCGGGAUGACGGCCUUCGAGUUGUAAACCGCUUUGGCCUGUGACGAAGCGUGAGUGACGGUAAUGGGUAAAAAAGCACCGGCUAACUACGUG
rnacentral:rRNA from 1 species